rnacentral:rRNA from 1 species
UACGAAGGGUGCAAACGUUGCUCGGAAUCAUUGGGCGUAAAGCGCACGUAGGCGGCUUGCCAAGUCGGACGUGAAAUCCCUCAGCUCAACUGAGGACGUGCAUCCGAAACUGGCGAGCUUGAGUACUGAAGAGGAUCGCGGAAUUCCCGGUGUAGAGGUGAAAUUCGUAGAUAUCAGGAGGAACACCGAUGGCGAAGGCAGGUCUCUGGGCCACUACUGACGCUGAGAAGCGAAAGCAUGGGGGAGCGAACAGG